GUUUAUGGUCUUCUUCCACACACAAAUCCAGAUAACUAACGCUCAUGAGUCAUAAAUGUAGUCGCUGAUAAACAAAUGUGACAGUGUGGAGAAGGUCUCAUUUCUUGGUUAUUGUUACACUUGCUGGAAGACUCGAGCAAAGUGGCUCAUUAGGGUUCUGUUUGACAGGGAGAAGAUGCACAUUUGCAAGUCAAUAUGACUCGCCUGUUAAGGAAUAUCAGUUGUCUUUUUAUUUUACUUACACUCUGUUGAAGUCUGAGCGGUUUUGAUCCUGAUUUCAAUUUCAAUAUCCGGGGUAUGAAAAAGUAAAACAACAAAGCAGCUUUCCAUCUGCUAUCUUUACCACAAACACGGAAAAUAAGCAAAAUGGAAAUAUCACUUCAAAUUAGUGUUUGGGGAAAAUAAUGAAUUAAUGAAUAUCCUUUUGGGGAUAAAUAAAGUUCUUGUUUUGUAGUUCUUGUAUUGUUAAUACAUGAUAAAAUUGCACAAGGUUCCUUUAUUUUCCUGUCAAUAAAAAAUGGUUAAAAGGGACACUGUUCCGAGUUUACUUCUAACUAAAUCUUGAUAUUUUCAUAUCCAAAUUACAAAGAAUGACAGUCUAAAAUCCCGUCUUUGGCUCUGUAAGGUGUAAACAGGCAUAUUUUUUUUUCAUUUCGCACGUUAGCCUGCUACCUCUGCUAAGGAGCAAAAACAACACCUUAGGCUGGUUUCAAAUCUCGACUAUUUAAGGUGCUCCUAAGCUCCUGGCGGCCCGUCUAUCCUCAGGUCUUUGCCUUGGUUUACAAUUAAAUUCAGACUCCAGUUUGAAAAUUCUUGUGAUUGUGUGAGAGCACUGCAUGGUCAAGUACCUGCUCUUCAUUUAAAAGCUCCUGAAGCAGUAUUACCCCAGCGAGACUCCAGGGUCCUCUGAUCAGGGUUUACUGGAUGUUCCUUGGUCCAGGAUCAAAACAGAACAAAGGUGCAUUUGCGGUCAUCCAAACUUAACUUAGUAACGGUCGAAGACCUUUUCGAUUCAACUUUUCUUUGUUUGUUAUGUAAUUCACAUCAAUUUCUGUCAAGAUGAUUUGCCUUCAAGUCAAAUCUGAUCUUGAAAGGUGAUUUACAAAAUAAAAACAUUUCCUCUCUCACUAAAUCACUUACAUACCAAAGUUAUCCUUUAGUGUACCAUGACAUGUUUGUGGCGCAUUUCAUUGCACUUGAGAUGGUAAUGUUGUAAUUUGGUCUUUGUCUCGUGGAAAACUGACUUUGAAAUUGGUGCAAAAGAAACACAAAAGCUUAUUGCGACUAGACAUCAGUUUUUUAUGGUCCUUAUCUGACAAAAGUUCCUUUAUAAAUAGCCGGGAGUGUUUUAUCCUCUCUAUGACUCUCUUUUCUGUUGUGUUUACCUUAUGGCAGCCCCAGGCAGGAAGUCAACAAAAUAUACCAUCCAGAGACCAUGAGUGUUUGCACACUGUCUGACUGGUCAAUGGGAUAGAUACAGAGAUUUUGAAAGGAAGUAGAAGGAAGAGGAAGCUGCCAUAGCUGUCCUCAGUAAAAACAUCAUCAAACCUCUCUGAAGUUGCUGAUAUGUUUCAAGUCUGAAGCAAGCAUCAAACCACUGGAGUAACAGCACAUCAACAUAGCUCAUACAACAGAACUGGACCUACCUCGUUUUGACCCUAGAGUUUAAUUUCUGUCAUUUAGACUUUUGCAUUUGAAUGUUUGCACAAAACCGAAGGAAACCGACCAGGGAAAAUCGAUAGUGUAAGCUCCAAACUCCUGCACAGCAGUCAAAGCUUUGAACUUCAAAGCUUGAAGCUUUACCAAGUUCUGCCCCUGGCCUAAUGUUGAAAUUGAAAUGAAAUGGUCAUUCAAUGGUGUCCAUACUGGAUGGAUGUAAAUUCUAAGAUCCCAAGGUUAACAUGCAUUAUAAUAAUCCUAGAAAAUAGAUGUAAACUGCUCAAAAUGGUUUCGCUGGGAGAUCUCGUGACAUCUCAAGGAGACUCACUAAACUAAUGAUGUCAUUGCAAUCGGCUCUCCCUACAAGUUCAUCUGUGCGUCCGGCAGAGCGUAACGGCCUGCCUCCAACAGCAUGCGAGGCGACACCCACAGCGGAGCGGGGUAACGCUCCUCUGCUGCACCAAUCUAUUGAUCACAACAGAUGGGGCUGGCCCAAAACAUCAAGCUCUGCCCUCAGCUGGCCUUCAAAAAGGCGCUGAGAGGAGGCCAAUCAGAAGAGAGUAGGCUUGUGGGGGGGGGGCUUAAAGAGACAGCAGCUAAAAUGAGGAGUAACAGACAGAGGCUGAAAUUAUUGUAUUUUAAUUCAGGUGAUCAAAUGUUCUGUUUUCUCAAGUCAUGUCCUGUUUUCACGUCCUGUCUUAGCACCCUGGAUGUUUUUUAUAAAGUGAUGGAAAUGUCCUGGUUUUCACUGUUUUUCAUUGGGCCACUGGGAUGAGGAAGAAAACUAAAGAUAUUGAUAUUUUUGUGGGUUCAUUUUUUGUGAAUUUGUGAGAGCUACUUCUGUUUAAGUUGGAUUGCUAAUAAAGCAAAGGUAUUUUCUCAUUAUUUAUUACUUAUUUAUUUUUUUAAUACAGAAGAGAUAUCGUUUCUAUCAUUAUUUUAUCUGUUAUUUUUGAAACUUAUCUUAACUUAAAACAUGUUGAGUAACCUCUUAGAAGCCUAUCUGAAUUUGUGUCUUUGGUUAUCAGUAGUAUUUGGUAAUUUAACAGUUUUCUAUCCAAACAGAGGAGGCAUACUUUAAAUGUACUGAAAUUAUAAGGCUUCUUUGAAUAAACUUUGAGUAUGUCAUUGCUGGGCUGAGUGUUGUGGUUUUCAGUGAUCAAAAUAUGGUCACCCUAAUUUUAAUACGCUAUCUGCUAAACACAUGGCUACUUUUGAUCUAAAAAUAACAUAAAGCUAUUAAAGAGGCUCCAGAAAGGAAGUUAAAAAUGCAUAGUAUCCCGUCUUUAAAGUAGCUAUGCAUCCAUUUGUGUGUGUGUGUGUGUGCACGAGAGCGUGCAUGUAUGUCCACAUCCUUCUCCCUCAGCUGCUCAUUAUCACUUUCAGAGGUUGAAAAGACAUUUUCCGCAUUCAUGUGUGUGUGUGUGUGUGUGUGUGUGUGUGUGUGUGUGUGUGUGUGUGUGUGUGUGUGUGUGUGUGUGUGCAUGGUAUUGUGUGUUUAUGCGUGUCCGUGUGUGUGUGAGUGUUUGGUGACGCAGCUCUGCUCUGUAUUCAUGUCUCGUGCCGUUUGUGCUCUGAACGAAUCUUUUGCUCCAGCGUGCUGGGUAGCAAAAAGAGAAAGUGAGGGAAGGAUAGAGGGAGGGAGAAAAGAGGACAGAAGAAGAGUUAAAAGAAAGGAUGAAAGCAGAGUAGGAAGGGGGGAUUAGGGAGGGAGGGGGGCGCAGGAGGAUUGUAAAAGUGCAUGUGCUUGGGAAUUUCUCCCCCCUCGAUCAGGUGCAAUGCGGAGGAGGUGUUAAGAUCUGCUGAAUUUGCUUACCCAUAAGCCCUAGCAGGUCGCUGGGAAUAGGUCACUGCCACGAGCAGGAAGAGUAGAUACCGAGAGUGAAAAAUAAAACUCGCAUUCGUUUUCUUAAAACCACUUCAUUAGAUUAAAGCCUAUUGGGUGUUUGGAGCGAUAGCAAUUAGCAGCUUUGGAGCUCAUAAUUAUAAGGACCGUCCAAACAUCUCUGUCUCUAUGAAUUAAUGACUGGAGGUCACUGUAUAAGCAUUAACUUUAAUUCUUGGAAACUUCUGUUGGCUGCUGCAGGACUAAAUGAUACGGUCUCUCACAGCACAUCGACUAUUCUCUAUAUGAAAAACUUUCUUUACAAUUGAUGAUGGGAUAAAAAACCACCAGGAGUACAGUUUAAAACUUAUUAAAAGAGUUGUGAAAAGUUUUGAGAGGUUAACAGGGCACCAAUGAUUAAUGAGUAACUCCACCUUCGAUUAGCAGAUAAUUGUGUAUCAUCUGAGUAACUAGUGAGAAACUUGUACAAAAACCAAUGACCAGGGCUCUUAAUGAACACUUCCCUUAUGAGUAACCG